rnacentral:lncRNA from 1 species
CAAAGCAAUUAUCAAAAGCUCCCCUCAAAUGUGAUGGAGUCCCCCCUAUAUAUCAAAACAACCAGCUAUUUCAAAAAAUUAAAAAUCAAUCUUAUUAACAGAUUUUUCUACAAAAUUUGCUCUUAAAUUCAAAAGGCCAGACUUUCUGGUUCAAAUCUUGUCAAGUAUUUCAAACAAAUCUGCUCUCCAAUAUUCAAAGACAGACUUUUAUUCAACACUGUCCAAAGAUCUACAUUUUCUUACCAAACAAUUUGACUUUUGAGUGUUGUACUCAAAGAGUCUUCAGUAGCAAAUAAACAAUCCAACAAGUACCAUAUACUCUUAAGUAUUUUUCACUACCUCACUUUUAUCAAUACAAAACUAUUUUACUACUCAACAAGUGCAAAAACAGAAAAUUUAACAUUUUAAACUUCAAAAACUAAUGCUAAAAUAAUUAAUAAUAGACAAAAUAAAAUCUGAAAAAAAUAAAAAUAAAAUAAAAAAUCAGCCACGAAAAAUAAUAGGAUUUUUACCAUUUUAUAAUUCAAGUGGCCGAAAAAUGGUGGUAUGCCAAAAGAGGGUGUUCGGGGAGGUCACCGGAAUUUGGCCGGAUUUUGAUCGCCGGAUUUUCAGGGUGAAAUUGGCAUCAAUAGCUAGGUCUUAACGAGCUCUAUCCAUUGAUGUAAGUAUUGUGGGGUGGUAGUGGUUGGAGCUUCAAGAAUUUGGGCAAAAAAGUGACGGAAAAGUUUCCUAGAUCUAAGAUUCAAGGAGUUUGAGGGAUUUUUGAAGGAUUUGAUUUGGAAAUAUGGAAGGAGGAAGUUGUGGAGAUUACAUGGUGUGAAUUUGGAGGUGUUUGGAGGUGGUCCGCCGGUGGCGGCGAUUUCCGGUCGGCGGCGGUGGACGGAGC